GUGAAUCAUCAAAUCUUUGAACGCAGCUUGCACUCCCUGGUAUUCCGGAGAGUAUGCCUGUUUGGGGGUCAGUUUAAAUAAAAAUCGGUGUGGUUGCUGCCUUUCGUGGUGACGCACCGGAUGUCGGUCGUCUUGCCUUCGGUUACGCGACCUAAAAUUUAGCAUGAUUUCUUCGUACGUACUUAAAUGAUUUUACGUACGUUUGCGUUAUCGUAUACUAGGUGCGGUAAUCCUCAUGAUCAG
rnacentral:misc_RNA from 1 species